rnacentral:rRNA from 1 species
AGAUUGAACGCUGGCGGCAUGCCUUACACAUGCAAGUCGAACGGCAGCACGGGAGCAAUCCUGGUGGCGAGUGGCGAACGGGUGAGUAAUACAUCGGAACGUGCCCAAUCGUGGGGGAUAACGCAGCGAAAGCUGUGCUAAUACCGCAUAAGAUCUACGGAUGAAAGCAGGGGAUCGCAAGACCUUGCGCGAAUGGAGCGGCCGAUGGCAGAUUAGGUAGUUGGUGAGGUAAAGGCUCACCAAGCCUUCGAUCUGUAGCUGGUCUGAGAGGACGACCAGCCACACUGGGACUGAGACACGGCCCAGACUCCUACGGGAGGCAGCAGUGGGAAUUUUGGACAAUGGGCGAAGCCUGAUCCAGCCAUGCCGCGUGCAGGAUGAAGGCCGUUCGGUUCGUAAACGUGUCUUUUUGGUACGGUAACGUAAACGGCUUACCGUUUUAAGUAAAGUAGGUACUUAAGU